AAAGCAGUAAAACUGACUGAAUGUGUAUUUGUUUUGUCAGUGACCAUAAGUGAGACAUUUGGAAAUAAGAUCUGUAUUAUGGAGGUGAGACUCGUGGUUUCCUGGUGGAUCUGAGGUUCCUGAAGCUGCAGAGAAACGUCAUGACGGUCUCACGUCUCCGUCCACGUCGUGGUUUCACAUGCUGAUGUGUCAGAGGCACCAUGGCCGCUCCAGCAGAGCACUGAGGUCACUCACCGGGGCCUCAGACGCCACGCCGCUCCACGCCGUUCCUCGCCGCUCCUCGCCGCUCCUCGCCGCUCCUCGCCGCUCUAAUGAGCUGCACCCUGCUUUCCCAGCAGCGCUCAUAAUUUAACCUCCGCUGUUUAGAUUGAGCUUUAAUUCGUCCAGCUCGGCGGCGGGCAGCAAAGUUGUUCUCAUGCAAAUGAGGUCAACGUGAACGCCAAAUUACAGGUUGUCGGCCUUCAUCAGGCAGACGAGCUGCAGAGUCCGGCGUGCAGACGAGGACGAGGAGCGAGCGCGAGGAUAAAUCAAAGUUUUGUUAUCGCCGCUGAAACCUGACGAGGAUCUGGCGAGCUGGACUCACAGGACGACUCGGAGGAGGCCAGUAAACAUUCUCAAGCCGUCCUUCACAUUAUCAGGCUGGAUUCUGGCUGUUUGGUUGUGUACACGCAGCCUAAUGCAUGGCAGAGGUCACAUGUUAGAAGCCCUGCCAUAAAAAAGGCCCAAGGGGCAGAGGGGGGGAGGGGGGCGGAGAAGAAAGCCGGCACAGAGGGAGCGGGGGGGCUGGCGGCGGCAGAGGAGGCGUCUGUUUUUCCUCAGGAGCCGAGCUGCAGAGCAGAGUCGACAUGGAAAAGCCGGAGAAUGGGAAAGUGGUGCCGAGAGCGGCGGGAUCGCGCCUCCAGCCCGGCUCCAGAAAGCCCGUCAGAGCCCGGCCGCUUGGUUCUGGAGCCGCUCAGACGGAGUGUCACUGAUGGAGGAUCGUCGCGACUCGAACCUCCAUCUGCUCGAGUUGUUCUAAUGAAGCCGAUUCUGAAAGUCCUGAUCUGACAGGAAGACGGCUGACCUGGACGGCCACAAAGCACUCUGGCUCAGAUUUAUGUCCCGCCACGACGUUCUCAGGUCAUCUCUGUCCUCAGAGCAGUUUGAGGUCCUGCGUCUCCUGCUGCGUCUCCUGCUGCGUCUCCUGCAUGCUUACAUUAUCAGUCUGCAUGUUUGCAAAGUCUUCUUCAUUUGUGCUCCACUGUGAGUCAAACUGCAGUUCUUCAUGUUCUCAGCUGUGAUAAAACAUCCCCAGCAUCUACCUGGCUGCAUUCCUCUGUUUACCACCUGGAGUUCUUUUUGCAGCAGAAAUGAUGCAUUUCAAGGUUACACUGAAGCUCCUGAGAAAGUUGAAGCAGCUGAAGUCUGCAGAGCAGAUAUUUUAACUGUCAGUCACACGACUUUCAUCUGGUUCAUAAAUUUGGACUCAAUUAUUAAAAAAUGAAUGAAAAAGACUCAGAAUGAGAUCUAGUUGGUUGUCAGUCACUACAAACCACAAAAACCGGAUUAUGAUGGAAAUGUUGUCGUCCAUGUCGGAGGUUCUGUCGUCCUCUGAUGGUCCGACCUCUGUCACCUAAAGGUCACUAAAGUCUCACUUUAC